UAAAUUUAGUUUAAAUAUUAAAACAUUUAUUUUGCAUAUAAAUAUUUUAGGUAAAAUUCCUAAAAUUUACA
rnacentral:tRNA from 1 species